GCCUUCGUGGUGUAAUGGUCAGCACACUCGGAGCGUAUUCCAGAAGUCCGAGGUUCAAGUCCCAGCGAGUGCG
rnacentral:tRNA from 1 species